rnacentral:rRNA from 1 species
GUCGCACGAGUUCAGACUCGUGGCGAAUAGCUCAGUAACACGUGGCCAAACUACCCUUCGGAGCUCCAUACCCUCGGGAAACUGAGGCUAAUAGAGCAUACCACAAUCCAGCUGGAAUGAGGAUUGUGCCAAACGCUCCGGCGCCGAAGGAUGUGGCUGCGGCCGAUUAGGUAGACGGUGGGGUAACGGCCCACCGUGCCAAUAAUCGGUACGGGUCAUGAGAGUGAGAACCCGGAGACGGAAUCUGAGACAAGAUUCCGGGCCCUACGGGGCGCAGCAGGCGCGAAACCUUUACACUGCACGCCAGUGCGAUAAGGGGAUCCCAAGUGCGCAGGCAUAGAGCCUGCGCUUUUGUACACCGUAGGGAGGUGUACGAAUAAGGGCUGGGCAAGACCGGUGCCAGCCGCCGCGGUAAUACCGGCAGCCCGAGUGAUGGCCGAUCUUAUUGGGCCUAAAGCGUCCGUAGCUGGCCGCACAAGUCCAUCGGAAAAUCCACCCGCCCAACGGGUGGGCGUCCGGUGGAAACUGUGUGGCUUGGGACCGGAAGGCGCGACGGGUACGUCCGGGGUAGGAGUGAAAUCCCGUAAUCCUGGACGGACCGCCGAUGGCGAAAGCACGUCGCGAGGACGGAUCCGACAGUGAGGGACGAAAGCCAGGGUCUCGAACCGGAUUAGAUACCCGGGUAGUCCUGGCCGUAAACAAUGUCUGUUAGGUGUGGCUCCCACUACGAGUGGGUGCUGUGCCGUAGGGAAGCCGCUAAACAGACCGCC